GAUGAAGAACGUAGCGAAAUGCGAUACGUAAUGUGAAUUGCAGAAUUCAGUGAAUCAUCGAAUCUUUGAACGCAUAUUGCGCUCUUUGGUAUUCCGAAGAGCAUGCUUGUUUGAGUAUCAGUAAACACCUCAACCUCUUCUUGAUUUUUCAAAAGGAGGGUGGACUUGAGCUAUCCCAACAACCUUUACUGGUCGGCGGGCGGCUUGAAAUGCAGGUGCAGCUGGACUUUUAUCUGAGCUAAAAGCAUAUCUAUUUAGUCCUCGUCAAACAGGAUUAUUACUUUUGCUGCAGCUAACAUAAAGGAUAAUUGUCCUCUUUGCUGACUGAUGCAGGAUUUUACGACACUUUAUGUGUUGUUCAACUCGAUCUCAAAUCAAGUAAGACUACCCGCUGAACUUAAGCAUAUCAAUAAGCGGAGGA
rnacentral:misc_RNA from 1 species